rnacentral:rRNA from 1 species
AGUGAACGCUGGCGGUAGACCUAACACAUGCAAGUCGAACGGCAGCACAGUAAGAGCUUGCUCUUACGGGUGGCGAGUGGCGGACGGGUGAGGAAUACAUCGGAAUCUACUUUUUCGUGGGGGAUAACGUAGGGAAACUUACGCUAAUACCGCAUACGACCUACGGGUGAAAGCAGGGGAUCUUCGGACCUUGCGCGAUUGAAUGAGCCGAUGUCGGAUUAGCUAGUUGGCGGGGUAAAGGCCCACCAAGGCGACGAUCCGUAGCUGGUCUGAGAGGAUGAUCAGCCACACUGGAACUGAGACACGGUCCAGACUCCUACGGGAGGCAGCAGUGGGGAAUAUUGGACAAUGGGCGCAAGCCUGAUCCAGCCAUACCGCGUGGGUGAAGAAGGCCUUCGGGUUGUAAGGCCCUUUUGUUGGGAAAGAAAAGCAGCAGGUUAAUACCCCGCUGUUCUGACGGUACCCAAAGAAUAAGCACCGGCUAACUUCGUGC